GACGAACGCUGGCGGCGUGCCUAAUACAUGCAAGUCGAACGCAGUGGGGACGGGUGAGUAACACGUGGGUAAACUCCCAUCAGAGGGGAUAACACUUGGAAACAGGUGCUAAAACGAUACUGAUGGAUGGACCCGCGGUGCAUUAGCUAGGUGGUGAGGUAACGGCUCACAAAGGCCACGAUGCAUAGACUGCUUGUGAUGGUGAGCGGACACCAUGGUACUGAUACACGGCCCAGACUCCUACGGUAGUCAACAGUAGGGAAUCUUCGGCAAUGGACGAAAGUCUGAGCGAGCAACGCCGCGUGAGUGAAGAAGGUUUUCGGAUCGUAAAACUCUGUUGUAAGAGAAGCGGUAUCUAACCAGAAAGCCACGGCUAACUACGGGCCAGCAGCCGCGGUAAUAC
rnacentral:rRNA from 1 species